AACGCGAAGAACCUUACCUACUCUUGACAUCCAGAGAAGCUUGAAGAGAUUCGAGUGUGCCUUCGGGAACUCUGAGACAGGUGCUGCAUGGCUGUCGUCAGCUCGUGUUGUGAAAUGUUGGGUUAAGUCCCGCAACGAGCGCAACCCUUAUCCUUGUUUGCCAGCACUUCGGGUGGGAACUCCAGGGAGACUGCCGGUGAUAAACCGGAGGAAGGUGGGGACGACGUCAAGUCAUCAUGGCCCUUACGAGUAGGGCUACACACGUGCUACAAUGGCAUAUACAGAGGGCAGCAAGACCGCGAGGUGGAGCGAAUCCCAGAAAGUAUGUCGUAGUCCGGAUCGGAGUCUGCAACUCGACUCCGUGAAGUCGGAAUCGCUAGUAAUCGUGGAUCAGAAUGCCACGGUGAAUACGUUCCCGGGUCUUGUACACACCGA
rnacentral:rRNA from 1 species